rnacentral:lncRNA from 1 species
CUGGGAUUCAAGCUGUGGGCGGGAAGUGCUCUAUCAGGGACUCAAGCCUUGGGAGACUCCCUCUUUCCCCUUUACUUCUUUUUCACCCAAUAAAACCCUGCUCACCCUCUCCAUCGGUCUGUGAACCUAAAUUUUCGUGGCUGUGGGACGGACAAGUACCCUGUCUUUAACUGAACUAUGGAAAAGUCCUGCAAUAUUUUUGGCGCCCAACGUGGGGACUCGAGAAGGGAAGGGUGAGGAGGCCUCACAGAAGGGCUGAGAUUUGGGAUGAAUACCUUCAUCAAGAAAAGGAGGAGCCAGUAGAAGAAACUGCAUUGGUAAAGCCAGAGAUUCAGGAAGAAGGUGGAUGGUGUGGCAUAUUCUGGAACAGGGCUCUGUAUUGGCAAGGAGGGGUGGCAGAUGAGGUUGGAGCCUAAGUUGUCCUGACUUGAAAGACUUGAACCUCUCAGCAGUUUGAAUUUCGUUCUAAAGCUAUCAAAAGAACCUAUUCAAGAGCAUGAUACGGUAAAUCAUCUUCAGCAACUCACAUAUCAUUUUUAACAUUGUUUCAGGGGAUAUUAGUGGACACUCUUAGGAACGCAGUGUAUAGCCCACAAGUAUAAUGACACUUAUUAAUACAACUUAGAAAACACCCUUUGAAAAUGCAUCAAAACCCUAAAAGAUUCGAUUAACUCUAUGGAAAUGAGGAUAAAGGGUAGAUGCAUGUAAGAAUCCAGCUGUCUUCUAUCUACAAAGCUCUUCAUAUCCACAACCACAGAGACACUGCUCAGCUUCUGAAUCGCCUUAGUUCACAAUAAAAUAGAAAUAAAUCAUAAUAAAAUAAAAUAGGGAAUAAAUCUAUCUGUUGGCUUUGAGAAAAUUUCUCAGUAGCAACAAACCAACUGCUCAAAUCAGAAUCCCCCAAAAUAAAUAAAUAAGGUACCUAAGAGGGAAUGCAUGUGUUGACCAAAAAACUAAAAAAUUCUCCCAUUUCUGUCUGACGUUGAAAAAAAUCAUAGGUAUUUGGCAUUUUAGCCUAUGCUGUUGAAUGUGGUAGCCACUAAUUAUAUGUGGCUAUUUAAAUUUAAAUAAGGUAAAAUUAAAUAAAAUUUAUUUUCUCAGUCCCAUUAGCCCCAUUUCAAGUCCUCAACAGCCAUAUGAGGCCACUGGCCACUGUACUGGUCAGCACAUGUAUCAGACAUGUCCAUUGUUGCAGGAAUAUCUGUUGGGAAAAAAAUGAACUACUUAUUUAGAUAAAAGUAGUGAUUUGUUAGACAUGCCUAAUAAAAUUCAGUUUAUUUUAAGAUUAUGUAAUUAAAUUCAGACUUACUUAUAAGAGUCUGAAUUUUCAUUUUAAUCGUUUGUAUGUAUUUCAUUCCUCUUAGUAUGAAGAGAGUCUAUAUCAAGAGACUCUCUAUGGAGACAGGAGCCAGUUUGUAUUAGGCCCCAGCUCUGUCUUGGGCUCUGUGCUAGGCAUUUCAUAUCUGUUAUGCUACUUAAGGCUCAUGACUCCCUGUGAGAUAGGCAUGCUUAUUCUCAUUUUUCCCUAAAUGGGGGGCUGUGACAAGGCUGAAGCAAAGAGAGGGCACAACAUCUUUUCAGGGUUAACACUUGAGAAACAUCUAUUUCUUCUUAAGUAGCUCUACUGCUGCUUAGAGAAGUAGAGUAUGUAGACAAGACAGUUAAAUUUUCCACAGAUGGGGUUUACUUAGAGGGAGAUAAGAUUUCUUUUGCACACAAUUGUAGAUUUUUUUUUAAAUGGUCAAAAUCCUCCUGUUCUAGCAGUAGCUAAGAAGUGACUCGGGGAAGCAUUCAACAAGUAGGAAAGAAGUCUGCUCAGAUGGAGGCCCUGAAUCAGAGAUGCCUGUCAUCUGUUCCCAAAGGCUCCAAACUCCUGCCACAAAUACACUGAGGGUUCCUCUCUCUAUAACUUCUUCUCUUUAUUUUCUCUGGAAGGAAUGUACUUGAUACUUAUUUUUAAUCUGAGUCUCCUUCCACAAAAAGUGUAGAGGAUGUGCUACCCAGCCCCUAAAGUUUUGCCUCUUGGUAUUCACACUUGUGAAGUCAUUUUCCAUGUGGAAGAGGGCUGACCUGUGUAAGCAAUAAGAUGCUGCAGAAAUGUAUGACUUCUGUGGCUAGGUUAGAAGAGCCAUGAGUCCUUAAAGCUUUCCCCCUUUUCUCUCUCUUGAGUGGCUGUCUCUGGAGGAAGCCAGUCACCAUUCUAUGAAGUUACUCAAGCAGCCAGUGGAGAGGCCCACAUGGGGAGGAACUGAGGCCUCCCACCAAUACUCUCCAUCAAGCUGCCAGGCAUGUGGUACCUUAGAAGUGGAUCUUACAGCCCCAGUCAAGCCUUCAGAUGACUAUAGAGCCAGAACCACUCUACUAAGCCUGUCCCAAAUUCCUAACUCACCAAAAUAACAUGAGAUAGUAAAUGUUUACUGCAGUUUUAAGCAGUUGAGUUUUGGCAUAAUUUGUUAUGCAGCAAUAGGUACCUAACCCAGAGGGUUUUUCCAGCUUUGCCUAUGGGCAAGUCUACAGAUGAAACAAGCUGCUUUUCAUAUUUAGUGCUCUCUCUCACAAUUAUCAGGAGAUAUAAUUAUCUUACCAUCCAGGCUGUGAUUCUUGCACACAAGCACCAAGUCAUCCAUUAUUGCAGUCUCCCUUCCCAUGCUUGAUGAAUAACUGGGUUCCUGUGAUUUUUCCUCUUUUCUUUCCCCAUUGACUGUUGAAAUUGUUUGCCUCAACUAUUGAGUCCCUUCUCUUCAGUUUGCCUCCUUUUCUUUUCCUCCUACAUGAGCAGAAGCCAGGAAAUUGAAUGUAUUCGAUCACAAAGUAUGCAUGACCCUCAGCAACAUGAGCCUACAAUAGUCUUUUUAAUGACCAGAGGAAGGUUGUGAGGACUCUUAGUUAAUUUGUUAUGAACACCCACUCCCAUAAG